UGCCUAACACAUGCAAGUCGAACGGUAACAGAUAAGAUGAUCUCUUCGGAGUGAAUCUUUGCUGACGAGUGGCGGACGGGUGAGUAAUGCUUGGGAAUCUGCCCAAUAGUGGGGGAAAACUCGGGGAAACCCGGGCUAAUACCGCAUAAUCUCUACGGAGGAAAGAGGGCCUCUACAUGUAAGCUCUCGCUAAUGGAUGAGCCCAAGUCAGAUUAGCUAGUUGGUAAGGUAAUGGCUUACCAAGGCUACGAUCUGUAGCUGGUCUGAGAGGAUGAUCAGCCACACUGGGACUGAGACACGGCCCAGACUCCUACUGGAGGCAGCAGUGGGGAAUAUUGCACAAUGGGCGCAAGCCUGAUGCAGCAAUGCCGCGUGUGUGAAGAAGGCUCUAGGGUUGUUAAGCACUUUCAAUAGAGAAGAAAAGCUUGAAAUUAAUACUUUCAAGCCUUGACGUAACCUAUACAGGAAGCACCGGCUAAUUCCGUGCCAGCAGCCGCGGUAAUACGGGAGGUGCGAGCGUUAAUCGGAAUUACUGGGCGUAAAGCGAGCGUAGGCUGUUAAUUAAGUCGAAUGUGGAAAUCCCCGGGCUCAACCUGGGAACUGCAUUCGAAACUAUUUAACUAGAGUAUGGGAGAGGAAAGUAGAAUUUCCGGUGUAGCGGUGAAAUGCGUAGAUAUCGGAGGAAUACCAGUGGCGAA
rnacentral:rRNA from 1 species